rnacentral:rRNA from 1 species
CACGUAGGGCGCAAGCGUUGUCCGGAAUUAUUGGGCGUAAAGAGCGCGCAGGCGGUCGUUCAAGUCGCGUGUGAAAGCCCCCGGCUCAACUGGGGAGGGUCACGCGAUACUGAUCGACUCGAAGGCAGGAGAGGGUAGUGGAAUUCCCGGUGUAGUGGUGAAAUGCGUAGAUAUCGGGAGGAACACCAGUGGCGAAGGCGACUACCUGGCCUGUUCUUGACGCUGAGGCGCGAAAGCUAGGGGAGCAAACGGG